AAUGUGUUAAUGUCAGUUCUAGUGUCCUCCCUAGGUAACUUCAUAACUCCAUUGUAUCCCCUCAUUCGUGACAAGAUGUGGUUUACCAGAGGACAGCAAGUUUAAUUCUGGUUUACAAUGACGCUUCCUUGUGAUGAAUGUGCAAGUGUAUUUCCUAAUAAAAUUAAACUCAAAGAACAUGUGAAGAGUAAACACGAGGGUGUCAAAUAUAAAUGUGAACAAUGUGAUCGUGUUUACUCUGAUAAAAAGAGUCGCUACAGACAUGUUAAGAGAAAGCACGGAGGGUUGAAAUAUCCGUGUGAUCAUUGUGAAAGCGUUUUCUCUGAUAAACAAAAUCGUACCAGGCAUGUGAAGAGUAUACACGAGGGAGUGAAAUUUCCCUGUAGUCAGUGUGAUCAUGUUUUGAAUGAUGUCAAAAGUCUCAAGAGACAUGUAGAAAGUAAACACGAGGGUUUAGAAUAUCCCUGCGAGGAAUGUGAUAGCGUUUUUAAUGAUAUAAAAAACCUCAACAGACAUGUAAAGAGUAAACACAUGGGUGUAAAAUAUCCUUGUAAUCAUUGUUCGUACGAAGCAACGUUUCCGUCGAACCUGAAGACGCACAUAGAAGCAAAGCACGGAGAAAAUGAAUACCCUUGUGAUGAAUGUGAAUUUACAGGAACAACAAGCUUAUACCUGAAGCGGCACAAACAAAGCCAGCACAGUUCGACCCAUAAAUGCAAAGACUCAGACUGUGAUCAUAUUGCUGAAACAUCUGGCGAUUUAAGAAAGCACUUUGAAGAAAAACAUUGUGCGUUUGAGGUAGAAUGUGAUAUUUGUAAUCACAAAUUAAAAUCUAUGGAAGCCUUACGGAAGCACAAAUCCAGUAAGCAUGAAGGAAAAAGGUUCCCGUGUGAAUAUGAUGAUUGUAACAAGAACUACACAUCAGCAUCGCAUCUAAAGGAGCACAAAGAAAGAAUUCAUCAUGGGGUUAGAUACCCAUGUGAUCAAUGUGAUUAUGUUGCAAAUAGAAAACAACAGUUAAGAGAUCACGAGAAGCAUAAACAUGGACCUCAACAUUAUCCAUGUGCCUAUUGUGACUUUAAUGCUAAGAAACGCUCUGAUCUAGAAGAGCAUAUCUUCCUUAGGCAUGAGGAUAAGGUGAAUUCAUGUGAUGAUUGUGACUUCAAAACAGAUGAUGAAAGAAAGUUGAAGGAACAUAUUAGAGUUGAACAUGAUGAAGAAAGGUAUCCUUGUGACCAGUGUGAUCACAAAGCAAAACGGAAACAGCAUCUACAACGACACAAGGAUUCUAAACAUGGAGAAGGAGAGAGACAUCCCUGUUCUCAUUGUGAUUAUUCGUCUGCUCGUAGUUCAGAUUUGAAAAAGCACAUUCAGAAUAUUCAUGUUGGCGAUGAGCAUUGUUGCGACAAGUGUGAAUACUCAUUCAACAAAGUUGAAUUGUUGAAUCGACACAUUAAGAGUAAGCAUGAAGGAGUGAAUUUCCCGUGUAAUGAUUGUAGCUAUAGCACAACAAUAGAAUAUAGCCUAGUGCGACACAAGAGGUUAAAACAUCAAGAUAACCCUAGCGUGGCAAAGAAGAGAAAGCUAGAUGACAAGUAAUUCGUGACACGACAUUUCGACUGAAAAAAACUAGAAGAUAUUACAAUUGGAAAUAGGUUCAGCUAACUUUAUGGACAAUUUUUGAACCUGAACCUGAACCCGAUCUUGCAAAGCAAGAACCUGAAUCUGAUCUUGUAAAGCAAGUACCUGGAGCCAGAUCUUGUAAAGCAAGUACCUGAAUCUGAUCUUGUAAAGCAAGAACCUGAAUCUGAUGUUGUGAAACAAAAACCUGAAGAUGAGUAUGGUAAUGAUCGUUAAACUGUUAAUUCCUCUUGUAUGAUCGAAAGUGCAAAAGAGAAGUUGUUUAUCUAUCGUUAUAUAAGGGAACUUCUUCUGGAGUGGGUACAAAAUGUCGAACAACAAAAUAUAAAAUCCUCAAAAAUGUCGGAAAAUACAAAGCGGUGCAAACUUAAAAAUGUCAAAUCAUUAAAAUACUUAUGUCUCAAAUUGUUUUUAAAAAUCGCACAUUUUUCAUAAUUUACAGAGACAAAACAUGAUUCAAAAAAAUAUGUGAUUUUACAUUCUUGAUUAAUGUAUUUAUAAAAUUCAUUAACUUCCCCGCCAUGCUCCAAAUAAUUGAAUUGAAAGGGUCCGAAAUUGCGUGGUUUUUUUUAAGAAGAAAAAAACUUUUUUUGUGGAGCUCAACUUCGCUGAAUUUUUACAUUUCACAGUUAAGACGAUUCGACAUAGUGCAGUUUUACGAUGUUUAUUCCUUCAUUUUGUGGCCUUCGUCAUUUUGUCAUGUGACGCGACGUUUUGUAGUUUUUACGUUUUGUACUCACUCCAGUCCUCCCGCUAUUUAUUAGAUCCUACCACAGACCUAGUAGAUAACAUGUAUAAUUAAAAAAAAUAUGAUUUAUUUUAAUACUGUAAACAAUUCGAAAUAUUAUUCUGAAAAUAAGUUUUUUAUUUAAGGUUUUAAUUCGUCAACAAAUGAGGCAUUUAUUUGUUCUCCUAAUAAUUAAUUGUUUCAAACGUCACUUUUUCUAAUCAUACAAAAAUUUUAAUAUUUAAAUUCCGUCCACCAAGGAA